GGAUUUUCGACGAGGUUUUAACGUUCGAAUCCGAGGGAGCUGCGCGUUCUUUACCUGCGGUGCAGAGCGGGCAUCGAAGGGAUCGGUCGGCGCCAUGAUCAAUGCGUGUAGUCUUUCGCAAGCGUCUACUCUGCCCGUGGACGACGUGGUCCAGGGCGGGGUCACGAAGUAGGGUAGCUAAGAGGGGACUAGCGGCCGCCAAGACGACCCGAUGAGCCCUGACGACGGAGCCAUCGUCGCAGGCCAGAGCGACGUCCACGUGUUGGUCACCGCUGUACCAAGCGCCAACCUCUGCUGCCAAUGUUGCAGGGUGUUUCCCAUAAUGGAGGGUCAGCAGACCGUCCGUAUACAUCGUCUGAAAAUUGAGCCUCAUCCACACCUGCGGAGAAUCGGGGAAAUCGUUAUUUUAUCAUUUUCCGAGGUUGGCUACCUGGUGGUUGAUAGAAAAAAAAAAAAAAGAAACAAUGUUGAAAAAAUACCCGAUAGAACGAUGAAUGAUAAAGCGACAGUUGGAAAAUAAGACGGAAACGUGUAAUUAUAUGUAUAUGCGAUUACACAACAUCUCCAUGCAUAUCUGCGAGGGAAAUUGUUGUUACGAAGUUCAGGGUCAGUCGGUGUUAUAUGAUGAUUGCAUUUGCGUUUUCCUUAUUCUAUUUGGGCCUUGACGAUGACGACGGGACGCUACGCGAUCGAGUUGUGCUGUUGC